CCUUAUGUGGUGCAGUGGUUUGAGUGUUGGACUAUGACUCUGGAGACUCAGGUUCAAAUUCUUGCUCAAGCA